UUGGGCGACCAGAGAGGGAGAGGUUCCGGCCUGCUACCUCCUGGUCUCCUCUCUUCUAUCCAAGUUUGAGAAGGCCAGAGAUAUAUGCAUGCUUGCUUGUAUCAUGUGAGUUCAUGCGCAAGCAUGGAUAUCUAGCUCUAUUACUGCAUGCAUUGGUGUUAAUUAGUAGGUGCAUGCAUGGCAUCCUCGUCAAUCCUGAUUGAUGUUUUGAACAACUGGUAAUAAUCUCGAUCUCACACAGUUCUUGAUUAAUUAUUCAGUUCCUGCGAUUGUUGUUCUUGUCUAGCAAACAUGCAUGUACUUCUGAAUUUACUUCGGCUUAUGGUUUUCAGGUUAUGUCUUUCACUUCAUGCACGCGUGCGCAAAUGAUGUAUAUAGGUUUCAGGAGAUGAAGUGCUCACUACUGCUCGGGCAGGUAGCUAGCAGUGUCGGCUGGAGCCAUGUACAUUGCUGAUAGAGGCCGGCGAGCGGCAUUGUUGCCGGCUGGAGAGAGGCUGGCCUUCACGCGGUGAACCAAGCUAGGAUAGAAGAACAAAAAAUGGGUCAUGUGGCAAGCAGCUUCUGUUUAUUUAUUUUUCGUUUGUUCAUGCUGUUUGAUUGUUCUCUACUUAAUUUGUACGGUUGUACCCAGCUCCUUACGUAGUUGCAGGCAUUAACUACGUACUCUGCGGUGUUGAAAUCUAUGGAACUUCGUUUACGAGCCGAGCUUCAUAACUGAUCUGUGUCUGAUGUCAUUCAGAAAGUUUCUUAUCUCAGUUGGAU
rnacentral:lncRNA from 1 species